rnacentral:rRNA from 1 species
CAGUAGCCGCGGUAAUACGAAGGGGGCUAGCGUUGUUCGGAUUUACUGGGCGUAAAGGGCGCGUAGGCGGACUGAUAAGUCAGGGGUGAAAUCCCAAGGCUCAACCUUGGAACCGCCUUUGAUACUGUUUGUCUUGAGUUCGAGAGAGGUAAGUGGAACUGCGAGUGUAGAGGUGAAAUUCGUAGAUAUUCGCAAGAACACCAGUGGCGAAGGCGGCUUACUGGCUCGAAACUGACGCUGAGGCGCGAAAGCGUGGGGAGCAAACAGGAUUAGAUACCCGCGUAGUCCCUGUCUCUUAUAA